rnacentral:rRNA from 1 species
GAUGAACGCUGGCGGCGUGCCUAAUACAUGCAAGUCGAGCGAACAGACGAGGAGCUUGCUCCUCUGACGUUAGCGGCGGACGGGUGAGUAACACGUGGAUAACCUACCUAUAAGACUGGGAUAACUUCGGGAAACCGGAGCUAAUACCGGAUAAUAUAUUGAACCGCAUGGUUCAAUAGUGAAAGACGGCUUUGCUGUCACUUAUAGAUGGAUCCGCGCCGCAUUAGCUAGUUGGUAAGGUAACGGCUUACCAAGGCGACGAUGCGUGGCCGACCUGAGAGGGUGAUCGGCCACACUAGAACUGGGACACGGUCCAGACUCCUACGGGAGGCAGCAGUAGGGAAUCUUCCGCAGUGGGCGAAAGCCUGACGGAGCAACGCCGCGUGAGUGAUGAAGGUCUUCGGAUCGUAAAACUCUGUUAUUAGGGAAGAACAAAUGUGUAAGUAACUAUGCACGUCUUGACGGUACCUAAUCAGAAAGCCACGGCUAACUACGUG